UAUUUGUUUAUUCUCUUUUAAUUUUUGUUAUUAGUGGUUGCUAAUCACUGAAUUUUUGUUCUUACUGUUUAGAAUACUAAGACACAUAUGCAAAGGGGGAUUUUUUUCCUAAAUUUAGUAAUCUCAAGGAAUUGGAAAUAAAAGUUUGGGUUUUCAAUGACCAAUGCAUCCUUUUCCUCAAUUCUUUGAUAAAUGGGUCUCCUUGCUUGUAUAGAUUUUUGUUGGAGGUUACAUUCAGAGGUCCUGCACCUUCAUGGGCAAAGUUUAAUUGGGAAGGGGAGAUAAUGCGCAGCCAGGUGAGACAGGUUACAGAAUCUGCCCAUCAAUGCCUCAAGGUGGUGGAAUUUACACGUUGGGUUCGCCUCGAAGCUGAUGUUGAGCUUGCUAUGUGACUACUUGAGAGUGUUGUUUCACUUGAAAAGAUGAUUAUUGAUGCUCGCAAUCUAAGUUUUAUGGGAAGUUUGGGUCUUAGUUUUAUGGAAGAUUGGGAUUUUCAAGAGCUGGAGACAACAAAUGGGAAGGCAGCCGCUA